GUCGUUGUAGUAUAGUGGUAGCACUUCGCCUGUCUCGCGGGUGACCCGGGUUCGAUCCCCGGCAACGGCG
rnacentral:tRNA from 1 species